GACGAACGCUGGCCGCGUGCUUAACACAUGCAAGUCGAACGGAAAGGCCCUGUUUGCCGGGUACUCGAAUGGCGAACGGGUAAGUAACACUUGGGUGAUCUGCCCUGCACCUGGGGAAAAGCCUGGGAAACUGGGUCUAAUACCGGAAAGGAGCCAUGGUCUGUUGUACGGUUGGAAGGAUUUUUGGGUUGAGGAUGAGCUCGCGGCCUAUCAUGUUGUUGGUGGGGGAAUGGCCUACCAAGGCGGCGACGGGUAGCCGGCCUGAGAGGGUGGACGGCCGCAUUGAGGGUGAGAAACGACCGAGACUCCUCCGGGAGGAAGCAGUGGGGGAUAUUGCACGAUGGGGGGAGGAACGAUGCAGCGACGCCGCGUGGGGGAUGACGGACGUUGGGUUGUAAAAUCGUUUCGCUAGCAACGAAGAAUUUAGUGACGGUACCUAGAUAAGAAGCACCGGCUAAAUACGUG
rnacentral:rRNA from 1 species